CAGGCGACAAGGGAUUGACCACAACACCUCCCAUUAGACAAUCUGGAUUAUCGUCCAAAAAAUAUAUCAAAUAUAAUAAUCCAGAUUACGAUAUUAAAUUACCAGCAAUGUGGAUAGAUUGCCAGCUACCAAAUGCAACCUUAUUGAAUGAUCUAAGAUAUACACGAUAGAACAAUUCUAACCAAUAAUUUUUUGGCUAGAGGUGGAUCCUAUUUUUGCAUUAAUUUGGAUCAACAUAAUUGUAAGGUUGCAUAACCCAUAGCGCAUGCAUCCAUGCAUGCAUUAUUCAUUUAUAGUUUUACAAGUAUCUAUGUCACAUC
rnacentral:lncRNA from 1 species